rnacentral:snoRNA from 2 species
AAGACUAUACUUUCAGGGAUCAUUUCUAUAGUUUGUUUCUUUUCUAUUUUAAUGAAAAAUGCCACUUGAAAUUUGAUAGGGAUU